rnacentral:rRNA from 2 species
AAGUUACUUUAAAAGCAAAUAGGGGAUGCCUAGGCUUAGGAUUCCGAUGAAGGACGUGGUUGGCUGCGAUAAGCUUCGGUGAGCCGUCAGCAGGCUGUGACCCGGAGAUUUCCGAAUGGGGAAACCCAGCUCCGAUGAUGCGGAGUUGUUUUGACGCAAGUCAAAUCGGACACUUGGUGAACUGAAAUAUCUUAGUAACCAAGGACAAGAAAUCAAAAGAGAUUCCCUUAGUAGUGACGAGCGAAAAGGGAACAGCCCAAACCUGCCAAUGCUUCGCAUUGGAAUUUUCAAUUUUCAAUAACCAAUUUUCAAAUAAAUUUAAAAUUUAAAUUUCCAAAAUUAACAACUUUUUGGAUUUGAGAUUUAGGUCAUUCGGAUUUAUUUGAUAUUUGGAAUUUGAGAUUUGGAAUUUCCACUGCGGAGCAGUGGUUGGGGUUGUAGGACUCCGAUAUCUUUACACUUCAAUUAGCUGAAGAGUUCUGGAAAGAACUGCCGCAGAAGGUGAUAGCCCUGUAAGCGAAAGUUGAUUUGUAAGGUAGGAGUAUCCUGAGUAGGGUCGGACACGUGAAAGCCGGCCUGAAACUGGGAGGUCCAACUUCCAAGGCUAAACAGAUCCUAAGACCGAUAGUGAACUAGUACCGCGAGGGAAAGGUGAAAAGAACCCCGGGAAGGGGAGUGAAAUAGACCCUGAAACUAUUUGCUUACGAGAUGUCGGAGCCCCGCAAGGGGUGACGGCGUACUUUUUGCAUAACGGGCCAGCGAGUUAGUUCUCAACAGCAAGGUUAACCCCGCAGUACGGGGGGAGCCGCAGCGAAAGCGAGUCCAAAUAGGGCGUUGAGUUGUUGGGACUAGACCCGAAACCGAGUGAUCUACCCAUGGUCAGGCUGAGUCCACUGUAAAAGGUGGAGGAGGGCCGUACCUGUUUCUGCUGCAAAAGGAUAGGAUGAACUGUGGGUAGCGGAGAAAUUCCAAUCGAACUCGGAGAUAGCUGGUUCUCCUCGAAAUAGCUUUUGGGCUAGCCUCGUGUCAUAUUUUCUGGAGGUAGAGCUCUGGAAGGGCUAGGGCUUCAAAAGAGGUACCAAACCCUACUAAACUUCAAAUUCCGGAAAAAACUAUCACGGGAGUCAGACAGUGACGGCUAAGCGCCAUUGUCGAAAGGGUAACAGCCCAGAUCUUCAGCUAAGGUCCCUAAAUAAGCCUAAGUGGAAAAGGAGGUGAGAUUACUUAUACAGCCAGGAGGUUGGCUUAGAAGCAGCCACCCUUUAAAGAAAGCGUAACAGCUCACUGGUCUAGUGAUCUUGCACCGACAAUGUAGCGGGGCUCAAGGCUUAUACCGAAGCUAAGAAAUUUGUCCGCAGGACAAGGAAAUUUGAAUUUAAGGUUUUAAAUUUUCUCGUCCUGCGGGCUAGUUGGUAGAGGAGCGUUCUCUUCUGCAGUGAAGUUCUGCCGUAAGGCAGGGUGGAGCGGAGAGAAGUGACAAUGCUGGCAUGAGUAACUUUAACCCGGUGAAAACCCGGGUCACCGCAUACCCAAGGUUUCCCACGCAACGUCAAUCGGCGUGGGGUUAGUCGGUCCUAAGACGAAGCCGAAAGGCGUAGCCGAUGGACGACAGGUUAAUAUUCCUGUACUACACUUUUUUCGCCCAAUCUUUUCUUUAUUGAAGGGUUAUUCUGGAGAUGGAAUAAACUUCGGUUUGUUCUAUUGAAGGAUUAAUCUGUUAGAUAAAGAAGGGAUAGCAACGGGGGGACACAGCCUGAAUAAUUGAGCCGGUUAAUGAAUUCCGGUGUAAGUUCUAAGAAGUAGCAAGUAGGUAAAUCCGCUUACAAGUACCUUCGGGUACAACUUCAAGGAACGAUGCCAAAUGUCCCGACUUGUCGGGAUGAGUCAGUGAUUUUAAGCUGUCAAGAAAAUCCUCUAGCGAGAAAAGAGUGUAACCGUACCGCAAACCGACACUGGUGGGUGAGUCGAGUAGACUCAGGUGAGCGAGAUAACCCUUGUUAAGGAACUCGGCAAUUAAGCGUCCGUAACUUAGGAAUAAGGACUCCCCUUACCGUGCUUUGCACGGAAAUUCCAAAUUACAAAAUCCAAUUUCCAAAUAAAUUAAAAUGAUCAAAAUCUAAAUUUCCAAAAGUUUAGAAUUUUGAAUUUAAAAAAUUGAUUAUUGUUUGAGAUUUGGUAUUUGAUUUUUGGAGCUUCCGCGCAGGGCGCGGUGUGGGGCGCAGCGAAAGAACUCAGGCGACUGUUUAUCAAAAACUUAGGUCUCUGCAAACUCGCAAGAGUAUGUAUAGGGGCUGAUGCCUGGCCAGUGCCAGAAGGUUAAGAGGAGGAGUGCAAGCUCCGAAUUUAAGCCCUGGUGAACGCCGGCCGUAACUAUAACGGUCCUAUGGUAGCGAAAUUCCUUGUCGGGUAAAACUGUCGGAAAGCUUGCCCGAAUAUUACGGUAACGUGAUAUAAGUAAACUGGCUAAUAUCGGUGAAAGCUAAGUCUUGUCUUUGUAAGAAGGGAAGAUAUGCUAAUACCGAGGGAACCCCGCUGGGCGGGGACCCGUAACGACUGAUUCGAAAGAUGAGGCUUGUCCCUCUCUAAAGGGGAUGGGCAAUACGCCAGCUCUUGUUUUAAAAAAAUAAACCAUGGAUUUUGCCUCUUAUAUUACUGGAUUUACUGAUGGAGAAGGUUGUUUUUCUGUUUCUUUUAAUUUGCGCGCCAAAUUAAAGAUCGGCAUAGAAGUAAGACCGAGCUUUUCUCUGACGCAGCACAAAAGAAGCCUGUCUAUUUUAGAGCAAAUUCAACACCAUUUUGCUUGUGGAGAAAUUCGUUUCUCCAAAAAGGAUCAAACUUAUAAGUGGGAAGUGAGGAGUUUAAUUGAUUUAAUCAAGAAGAUUAUCCCUCAUUUUCAAAAGUAUCCUUUGCUGACAAGUAAAAAUAGCGAUUUUGAAAAAUUUACACGAAUUUGCGAAUGGAUGUAUACAAAUAAACACCUUAAUCCAGUCUAUCUAGAACAAAUUGUUUUACUAGCUUACACAAUGAAUCAAAGUGGUAAGCGUAAGUAUGACAAAGCAAAACUCCUAAAGCUUAUAACAAGAUGAAGAUAUAGUCUGAUCUUGCGCGAAAGCGUUAAGCUUAAUGAAGUUCCGACCCGCACGAAUGGCAUAACGAUCUGAGUACUGUCUCAACAAGGGGCUCGGUGAAAUUAUAAUGUCGGUGCAAAUACCGACUUAACCACGACUAGACGGAAAGACCCCGUGGAGCUUUACUAUAUCCUGACACUGAAAGAGGGUAUUUUAUGUGUAGAAUAGGUGGGAGACUAUGAAGUCCCGACGCUAGUCGGGACAGAGUCGCCGUUGAAAUACCACCCUUGAAAUACUUUGUUUCUAACUCUCCCGAUUAAAUCGGGAGGGGACAAUGUUUGGUGGGUAGUUUAACUGGGGCGGUUGCCUCCUAAAUGGUAACGGAGGCGCGCGAUGGUUGGCUAGCGCCGGAUGGAAAUCGGCGCGAUAGUGUAUUCGCUUAAGCCAGCCUGACUGUGAGACUUACAAGUCGAGCAGAGACGAAAGUCGGUGAAAGUGAUCCGGCACUUCUAUUUGGUAGGGGUGUCGCUCAACGGAUAAAAGUUACCCCGGGGAUAACAGGCUGAUAGUGCCCGAGCGUCCACAGCGACGGCACUGUUUGGCACCUCGAUGUCGGCUCGUCUCGUCCUGGGGCUGAAGAAGGUCCCAAGGGUUUGGCUGUUCGCCAAUUAAAGAGGUACGCGAGCUGGGUUCAGAACGUCGUGAGACAGUUCGGUCCCUAUCUGUCGUGGUCGCAUGGAAAUUUGAGGGAGCCUGCUCUUAGUACGAGAGGACCAGAGUGGACGAACCCCUGGUGUACCAGCUGUUCCGUCAAGAGCAAUGCUGGGUAGCUAUGUUCGGAAGGGAUAACCGCUGAAAGCAUCUAAGCGGGAAGCCUGUCCCAAGAUUAGAUUUCCCUAAGACCGCCGGGAGACUACCGGUUUGAUAGGCGGAAGGUGUAAGUCCCGUAAGGGAUUGAGCCAAUCCGUACUAAUGGUCAUUUGAACUUUUUU